GCCGAAGUGGUGGAAAGGUAGACACGCAGCCUUGAGGUGGCUGUGAGAGAAAUCUCUUGGGGGUUCGAGUCCCUUCUUCGGUACCA
rnacentral:tRNA from 1 species